UCAUUGCCUCGAAAUACGACUGCGAACACGUAAUGUAAAGCCGCCGGGGAGGGCAUCCUCCCCGGACCCGACCACCCAUGGCGGGUGUCGGAACACGGCGCGGACUGUCGCCAAGGAACACCGAUAUGCCGAGGCAAGCCACACCCCGCAGCACCACGGAGGCCAAAUAAAC
rnacentral:misc_RNA from 1 species